rnacentral:rRNA from 1 species
CAGUCGCCGCGGUAAUACGAAGGGGGCUAGCGUUGCUCGGAAUUACUGGGCGUAAAGGGCGCGUAGGCGGCGCUCCAAGUUAGGCGUGAAAUUCCCGGGCUCAACCUGGGGACUGCGCUUAAGACUGGAGUGCUUGAGGAUGGAAGAGGGUUGUGGAAUUCCCAGUGUAGAGGUGAAAUUCGUAGAUAUUGGGAAGAACACCGGUGGCGAAGGCGGCAACCUGGUCCAUUACUGACGCUGAGGCGCGAUAGCGUGGGGAGCAAACAGGAUUAGAUACCCCUGUAGUCCCUGUCUCUUAUAC